rnacentral:rRNA from 1 species
CCUACGGGUGCCAGCAGUGGGGAAUAUUGGGCAAUGGGCGCAAGCCUGACCCAGCAACGCCGCGUGAGGGAAGAAGGCUUUCGGGUUGUAAACUUCUUUUCUGAGGGACGAAGAAAGUGACGGUACCUCAGGAAUAAGCCACCGCUAACUACGUGCCAGCCGACGCUGUAAUACGUAGGUGGCACGCGUUAUCCGGAUUUGUUGGGUGUAAAGGGCGUGUAGGCGGGAAAGCAAGACAGAUGUGAAAAGUCAGGGCUCAACCCUGAGCUGGCAUUUGAAACUGUUUUUCUUGAGUGCGGGAGAGGCAAGGGGAAUUCGGUGUGUAGCGGUGAAAUGCGUAGAUAUACGGAGGAACACCAGUGGCGAAGGCGGAUUGCUGGACAGUAACUGACGCUGAGGCGCGAAAGCGUGGGGAGCAAACAGGAUUAGAUACCCUUGUAGUC